rnacentral:rRNA from 1 species
UACAGAGGUCCCAAGCGUUGUUCGGAUUCACUGGGCGUAAAGGGUGCGUAGGCGGUUGGGUAAGUCUGUCGUGAAAUCUCCGGGCCUAACCCGGAAACUGCGUCGGAAACUAUUCAACUCGAGGAAUGGAGGGGAGACUGGAAUACUUGGUGUAGCAGUGAAAUGCGUAGAUAUCAAGUGGAACACCAGUGGCGAAGGCGAGUCUCUGGACAUUUCCUGACGCUGAGGCACGAAAGCCAGGGGAGCAAACGGG